rnacentral:tRNA from 1 species
CAAAAUGUAGCUAUAAAUAAGCGUUUCAUUUACAUUGAAAAGAUUUCUGUGUGAAUCAGAUAUUUUGA